CAAACCUAGAAAACUCUCAUACUAAUCUUCGAUCUGAAAAUUAACAACGAAAUACUGCUUAGAUCGAGCUUUGUCGUUGCUGUUUAUCAAGUUUGUACCACAGAUUCCGAAUUAUAUAAACAGAUUCAUUGGGAGAUGACUGUGAAGAACCCAAGCUUCUGACUAAUAACAUAGAUGAUGAUGUUGCCAAAAGAAGAUGAUUUAGAAAGAUAAGUUGUUCAUACGAUUAUUACUAUUGCAUAGGAUCAAUAUAUGUGUAAUGAUGACAUAGAUUAGAAAGAUUAUAUUUCAUAAGUAAUAAUAUGAUGAGAAUCAUAUAUUUAAAAGCUAACUAUUGUUACUAUAUGCGCAGAUUAAGGAAAGAAAUCAUGCAAUCAAGAUUGACUGAUGAUUUAGGAUCUUAAACCAAUUACAUAAGACCAGGCAACAUCUUUAAAGAAGGCAAAUUUGAAAGCACUGAUAAAGCCAGUCCAGAUUCUGAAAGCACUGAUAAAGGAUCUCAUCAGAGUCUUCUUCGAUUGUUGUAUUAUAACUCUUGUGAGAUGUUUUCUUCUCCUUUGCCAAAGACUUUGGGAACCUCGGAUUGAUUCUUGAAUUGAUGGUGGACUCCACUUUUUCCCCUUUUUUCUGGUGGCUUAAGUGGAGUUUGGUGAACCUCGCUGUGAAGCUGUGAUGUAUUAAUAAUGUUCUGCACAUCUUGAAAAGGUCUUCUCUGUGUCCUUGCUGUUUUUUUGGCUGAUCUUACACUCGUAUUAUAAGUAACUGUAGAUGCAAAUCCUAUACAUUAUGGUUAUUUAUUAGUUAGCAUCAUAUGUAGAUGCUAUAUUGUUGGAAUAUAAAUGUUUACAUACCUUGUGUUUCCUUUUGUAUGGCUGCAGAAGAAGAAGGACCAGUUACUGUCUGUAAGGCUUCAGAAUCACACUGCUGGGCUGUGUUAGCUACAGUAAUGGGGCUUAUAUAUGAAAAUUCAUCAGUACAAAGCACAUGGCUUAAUGUCAGCAAGAGGGGUGAAUGCUUGAACAGCUGCCAUUUUCUUAGAGAAAUAGUGAAGUGGUAAUGGUAAAGCUUUGAAAGAUUCCUAAAAAAUUAAAAGGAGAUUCAUGAUGGGCCUAAACAUAUUGUAAGCCCAACAGUCAUCUCCCAAUGACAUAAUCGGGUCAGCCAUAUUUUAAAAAACAGGAUCCGGCUGUAGGAUCCGGGAUCCGCGUCCCAACAGCGGGAAUUUUACAAUUUUACCCCUCCGCAAAAUUUUUUAUUUUGUCAUCAAAACUUUAAUUGUAAUGGCAUUCUCUUGUAAUUAUUUACAGAUUGUAAGGUUAUUUUUCAGGUAAUCCUUCCCAAUUAAUAGUA